CUUGAGUUGGCUGCUCUGAGUAUAGGGAGCUACAUUUAAUUUAUUUUAUUUCGACCACCUCUUAGGUUUUUCAUCCUUCAUUUCUUCUGUUUCUGGUUCUUUUUAUGGUUCUUUUAAAAGAUAAAUGUGUUUUGUUAUCCUUAAUGUUUCCUUUCUUUCUUUUGUCUUUAUCUGCAUUUAAAUGCUUUCUGCCUUCUGGUUUCUAUUUGUAGUAGUAUGUUCUUCUGUUUUUUUAGUAGAUUUUGCUCUCAGUCUACAGUCAUCUGCUUUAUGCCAUCUAGAAUAUCCUCACUCUCUUAGUUUGCUGGUGAUUAUUGUGUAUUUCUCAUGCCUUUGAAUUGAAAAUAUAUUUAUUGUGUAAUUUCCUAUGGAUUUAAGGAGGGGAAUAUAUUUUUCUGGAAUUCUCUUUCUUUCUGAUAUGCUUUCUCCCUUUUUCUUUAUCAUCAAUGACUUACUCUACCUGCCAUUUAUCUUCACCUAUGAUUUAGAAGGAAAUUAUAACAUCGACCUGAUAGGAUUGCCAAGAAGAUUAACUGACAUAUUAUAUGCAAAGCACUUAGAACAAUGCCUGGCACAUGAGUAACUCUGAUGUGUAUGAUUACAAUUUAAUGGGAUUUGAAAAGAAUAACGAGAUGAGAACCAGAAAUGAUGAGUACCAUUACAUCAAUAGAAGAUGCUGAAUUUUUUUUACCAGCUGAUCAAUAAAUGCAUUAAAUGAAUACAAUCAGUAAUUUUAUUUACCCCAUUUUUAUAAGAAAAAAAUUAC
rnacentral:lncRNA from 1 species